rnacentral:rRNA from 1 species
UACUCCUACGGGAGGCAGCAGUGGGGAAUUUUGCGCAAUGGGGGAAACCCUGACGCAGCAACGCCGCGUGAGUGAUGAAGGCUUUCGGGUCGUAAAGCUCUGUCUAGAGGGAAGAAAUGAUAAUCGGUUAAUACCCGGUUUUCUUGACGGUACCUCUGAAGGAAGCACCGGCUAACUCCGUGCCAGCAGCCGCGGUAAUACGGAGGGUGCAAGCGUUGUUCGGAUUUAUUGGGCGUAAAGCGCGUGUAGGCGGUUUGUUAAGUCUGAUGUGAAAGCCCUGGGCUCAACCUGGGAAGUGCAUUGGAAACUGGCAGACUUGAAUACGGGAGAGGGUAGUGGAAUUCCUAGUGUAGGAGUGAAAUCCGUAGAUAUUAGGAGGAACACCGGUGGCGAAGGCGGCUACCUGGACCGAUAUUGACGCUGAGACGCGAAAGCGUGGGGAGCAAACAGGAUUAGAUACCCUGGUAGUCCACGCCGUAAACGAUGAGAACUAGGUGUUGCGGGUAUUGACCCCUGCAGUGCCGCAGCUAACGCAUUAAGUUCUCCGCCUGGGAAGUACGGUCGCAAGACUAAAACUCAAAGGAAUUGACCGG